rnacentral:rRNA from 1 species
GUGCCAGCCGCCGCGGUAAUACCGGCAGCCCGAGUGAUGGCCGAUCUUAUUGGGCCUAAAGCGUCCGUAGCCGGCCGGGGAGGUCCGUCGGGAAAUCCACUCGCUCAACGAGUGGGCGUCCGGCGGAAACCCCUCGGCUUGGGACAGGAAGACCUGCGGGGUACGUCCGGGGUAGGAGUGAAAUCCCGUAAUCCUGAACGGACCACCGGUGGCGAAAGCGCCGCAGGAAGACUGAUCCGACGGUGAGGGACGAAAGCUAGGGUCUCGAACCGGAUUAGAAACCCCAGUAGUCC